CCUUGUCCCAGCAGCCGCGGUAAUACGUAGGGUGCGAGCGUUAAUCGGAAUUACUGGGCGUAAAGCGUGCGCAGGCGGAUUGUUAAGCAAGACGUGAGAUCCCCGGGCUUAACCUGGGAAUGGCGUUUUGAACUGGCAGUCUAGAGUGCGUCAGAGGGGGGUGGAAUUCCACGUGUAGCAGUGAAAUGCGUAGAGAUGUGGAGGAACACCGAUGGCGAAGGCAGCCCCCUGGGAUGACACUGACGCUCAUGUACGAAAGCGUGGGUAGCAAACAGGAUUAGAUACCCUGGUAGUCCACGCCCUAAACGAUGUCAACUGGUUGUUGGGGGAGUGAAAUCCCUUAGUAACGAAGCUAACGCGUGAAGUUGACCGCCUGGGGAGUACGGCCGCAAGGUUAAAACUCAAAGGAAUUGACGGGGACCCGCACAAGCGGUGGAUGAUGUGGUUUAAUUCGAUGCAACGCGAAAAACCUUACCCACCUUUGACAUGUAUGGAAGAUCGCAGAGACGCGAUUGUGCUCGAAAGAGAGCCAUAACACAGGUGCUGCAUGGCUGUCGUCAGCUCGUGUCGUGAGAUGUUGGGUUAAGUCCCGCAACGAGCGCAACCCUUGCCAUUAGUUGCUACAUUUAGUUGGGCACUCUAAUGGGAC
rnacentral:rRNA from 1 species